rnacentral:rRNA from 1 species
UACGUAGGGUCCAAGCGUUAAUCGGAAUUACUGGGCGUAAAGCGUGCGCAGGCGGUUCUGAAAGUCAGCUGUGAAAGCCCCGGGCUUAACCUGGGAAUUGCGGUUGAAACUACAGGGCUAGAAUCUGGCAGAGGGGGGUGGAAUUCCACGUGUAGCAGUGAAAUGCGUAGAGAUGUGGAGGAACACCGAUGGCGAAGGCAGCCCCCUGGGCUGAGAUUGACGCUCAGGCACGAAAGCGUGGGGAGCAAACAGG